rnacentral:rRNA from 1 species
AUUGAACGCUGGCGGCAUGCCUUACACAUGCAAGUCGAACGGUAACAGGUCUUCGGAUGCUGACGAGUGGCGAACGGGUGAGUAAUACAUCGGAACGUGCCCGAUCGUGGGGGAUAACGCAGCGAAAGCUGUGCUAAUACCGCAUACGAUCUACGGAUGAAAGCGGGGGAUCGCAAGACCUCGCGCGGACGGAGCGGCCGAUGGCAGAUUAGGUAGUUGGUGGGAUAAAAGCUUACCAAGCCGACGAUCUGUAGCUGGUCUGAGAGGACGACCAGCCACACUGGGACUGAGACACGGCCCAGACUCCUACGGGAGGCAGCAGUGGGGAAUAUUGGACAAUGGGCGAAAGCCUGAUCCAGCCAUGCCGCGUGAGUGAUGACGGCCUUAGGGUUGUAAAACUCUUUUAUCCGGAAGAUAAUGACUGUACCGGAAGAAUAAGCCCCGGCUAACUUCGUG